UACAGAGGGGGCAAGCGUUGUUCGGAAUUACUGGGCGUAAAGGGCGCGUAGGCGGCCCGCUAAGUCGAACGUGAAAUCCCCGGGCUCAACCCGGGAACUGCGUCCGAUACUGGAUGGCUUGGAUUUGGGAGAGGGAUGCGGAAUUCCAGGUGUAGCGGUGAAAUGCGCAGAUAUCAGGAGGAACACCGAUGGCGAAGGCAGGUCUCUGGGCAUUAACUGACGCUGAGGAGCGAAAGCAUGGGGAGCGAACAGG
rnacentral:rRNA from 1 species